rnacentral:lncRNA from 1 species
AAACCUAUACUACUAAAACUUUAAUUUCUCUGACAUGAUUCACGGACUAAACAAAUACAAACUAAAGAUUAAAAUAUUAUUUAUUCACCAAUUCAAACGACAUAAACAUAUUAGUAACCAUAGGUACUUCCAAUAUAGGUGAAAAUAAAACCACUAAAUUAAAACUUUCAUCAAUCAAACUAUAAGAUAAAAAGUCUCUUAAGUUUUUUACGCCGUCAAUGUAUAUAACUUUUAGCUUAGCCUGAUCGGUGGUGGACGGUUUUCUGGACUCUCUUGCCGAUUAGGGCCACUAGGAACCACACGAUAUGAAAACCCUAGCCAUCUUUGAACGUCAUUCAACUUUCUUGAAAUCCCAUGAUCCGCUAAGAAAGGUUGAAAUACUUUUUCACUUUUUGCAAUUAAAUUCACAUGUGGUCGAAUAGCUUGAACGAUUUUUUCACUAUUAAAAAGGAAGAGAGCAACAAGAAUGAAGAAGAAGAGUUUCAUUUUUGCCUUUGGUUUUUGGUAUUCC